rnacentral:lncRNA from 10 species
AGUCUAUCUCCCUGCGGUCAUUAUUCCUUUACAGCACUUGUCAUUUGCAGCUUCCUUUCUGUAUUCCCUAAACUUUCUGGUAUCUUUUCAGAAAAAUUCUUUUUAAUUUCUUGAAAUCUCACAGUCAGCACUUCAGUUCAUGUCUACAUUUUACCCUCGUUGCUCUCUAACAAAUGAAUCUUUUCAGGUUGACCUCUCCCUAAUCUCUGAAGCUUUGACGGGAUUUUCAGAAGUUCAGACUGAAGCAAUAAAGGCCGUCCCACUUUUCUUCACUUUGCUGUGCAGAUGGAGAAAGUCUACUAUGUUUGAUUAUGCCGCCUCUUAGAAUACUCAUGCCUCCUCCUACCUCUUCACAGCUGCCAUCAGCCCAGGAAAACCUUCAACUCAGUUAAGUACCAAGACACCUGCCCAAGAUGGAGAUGAGAAACAAAAAAAGGUGCAGCUGAGUUGAAAAUACAUAGAUGUCACUUUGGUUUUCCUGCUUAGUAAGAAAAGCACAUAUUCAGAAAGUGAAGUCAUAAUUCUCCAGCUCAGUUCAAUAUAAAUUUAUUGAGCACCUACUAAGAAGAUGGCAGCAGAUGGCUUCAUUUUCUCUGGCUAUGUUUACCUCUCUGCAGAUAUCUUCACAUAGUCAACCUUCUGAUAGGAAUGAAGGUGAAAGGGAAGUUCACUGAAAUAAAUGUAAUGGUACAGCCAAUGGACGCAUUCUUAGGCACAGUCUCUAACUGGAUGUAAUCUACCCAGGACAAAUGGUACAGCUUUUUAGAAGAAACCAGCUCACUCAGUUAAAUAAACCUUUGGG